UGUUAUUUAUACUGCAGAUAGAAUUGUUAAGAUGUAGGACCUAAUAAUAGAUAUCUUUUUCUCCAAUAGCUGAAAGCAAGGGAGAAGAAGUUGAUGCUACAGGAUGUAAUCCACUGAGUAUUGACAACUUCACCUUCUAUUCUAAGCUUGGUCAAGGAAGUUUUGGCAAGGUUAUGUUGGCUACACUAGGUGAGAGGAAGAAAUAUGUGGCUAUGAAGAUCAUAAAGAAAAAACCUGGGUGCCGUUUCAGCAGCAUCGUGACUGAGGCCAGUGUGCUUAAGCUCGCCAGUGCAAGCCCAUUCCUGUGCCAUGGUUACGCUGCAUUUCAAACACAGCGGCAUGCGUUCAUCACUAUGGAGUUCAUCCGUGGGGGCAGCAUUGAAGAUCAUCUGGCAAGAUAUGGACGUCUGGAGAUGAGCAGAGUACUGUAAGUAUUGGAUGGAAUUGUGCUUUAGUUGAAAUGAACUGGCACAGAAAAUGCAUUAUAAUUCUAUUGAGUAAUUGUGCAAUAAAUACAUGAGCAAUUAUAUGAAUUAUGUAAACUAUUUUCUUUUUAGGUUCCAUUCAGCGGAGAUUGUUUGUGGUCUGGAAUUCCUCCACCGCAGCGGCAUUGUCCAUCGGUCAGUAUAGCUCUGGUCUCUCUAAUGUUUAAAUUGUUAUUAUUUCUAACACCUGUUUAAAUACUUUAUUCUCUCUUUAUUACAGAGAUCUGAAGCCCGAAAACAUCAUGCUGGAUCAAGAGGGUCACAUAAAAAUAUGUGACUUUGGUCUGGCAGUUAAGAACAUGUUCGGUGAUAGGACCAUCAUUGGCCGAGCAGGGACACUUGGAUACAUGGCACCAGAGGUAAGAAAUACAA